rnacentral:rRNA from 1 species
AGAGUUUGAUCCUGGCUCAGAACGAACGCUGGCGGCAGGCCUAACACAUGCAAGUCGAGCGCUGUAGCAAUACAGAGCGGCGCACGGGUGAGUAACACGUGGGAACGUGCCCUUUGGUUCGGAAUAACUCAGGGAAACUUGAGCUAAUACCGGAUGAGCCCUAACGGGGAAAGAUUUAUCGCCGAAGGAGCGGCCCACGUCGGAUUAGCUAGUUGGUGGGGUAAAAGCCCACCAAGGCUACGAUCCGUAGCUGGUUUGAGAGAACGACCAGCCACACUGGGACUGAGACACGGCCCAGACUCCUACGGGAGGCAGCAGUGGGGAAUCUUGGACAAUGGGGGAAACCCUGAUCCAGCCAUGCCGCGUGAGUGAUGAAGGCCCUAGGGUUGUAAAACUCUUUCGGCGGGGACGAUAAUGACGUACCCGCAGAAGAGCCCCA